AACGCUCAAACGCAGAUUCGGAAUAAGACUUCUAUUUGCCCUCUUUUUACGAUUUUUAUACUUUAUCGUUGUCAUUAUCGUAUUCUGAUUUGUUUGGAGUGUGGUAUUAGCAGAUAUCCAGGAUCUCUGAGAAAUUAGGGUUUUUCCUAGUUUCUUUAUUUAAACGGAAAUCGACAGUGCGAAUUUCGGUUCCCACAGUGAACUAAACAAACCAACGAUUUUCCAUUAACCAAUAUUAAAGCUAUAAUAAAACAGUAAUAGAUAAAUAAACUGAACAAAAAAGAUCGAAUCAAUAUAUAAUAAACACUAGAAUAUUUGACAUCAUGACAACACAUCAAAAAAACCACAUAUCACAAUAUAUAUUUUGAUUACGAGAUUCAUGACAAUGCUUUGUUUGCAUAAUAAUGAUAAAAUCCUAGUAAGACACAUCAAAGUCAUGUCCGAGAUGUCUAUUUCAUCUACCGUUCGGAAGACAAGUAAUUGAUUGCAUAACAAACGAUUUAUAAAUUAAUAUAUCAUCAGUCAUUCAAUUAUGAAGCAUUAAGCAUAAAGUUACUUAUCUCUCCACAUGGUUUGGUGAUUGAGAAUAUGUUACGAAGGAAAGUCAUCGGUUCGACGGAGAUCAACGUACGAUUCUUUGUUUUUUUUUUUCAUCGACACGAUCAGAGAUUUUAGAUUUUAGUCGGCUGCUAAGUUUUUUUUUUUUAAUUAGGUAGCUAGGAUUAGAGCUUGCGAUAACAUGUUCUGAAUUAAGAGAAAGAGAAAAUUUGUUGUUAUUAUUAUUAUUCAACCACAAUACAUAUAUAUAGGAAUACAAGAUUAGAGUUUAGAACCUCUAGAUGGGCUUACGGCUUAUAUAGACAUCCACGUAAUAGUUUAUAACAACUUGUGAAUUGUAAACUAUUUUCGGAACAAAAGCUUAAAUGUGAGAUCUUACAAAACAAAAAGAAGUUAUGACAUAAGCUGUCAUAAACCUGGUAAAACAAUAAUACUUAUUCUUGGAUUCUAUCCCUAGAGUUUAUCCAAUGGUUUAUGAUUUAGAAUUUAGGGUUUAUGAUUUAAGAUUUAGAGUUUAGGAUUUAGGAUUUAGUGUUUUGCUCACGACGUUAAAAAUAUAUUUUUUUAAAUCUUUCUUUUUUGUAAUUACUACUAUUUUUUUACCUUUUUAUUUAAAAAACAUAAUAUAACUUGACAAUAUUUUGUUUCAUUUUUUAAAAGAUAUCGAAUAUGAAAUAACACAAUCCUAUUGGUUGUUGAACCCAAAAUAGCUCAAAUAAUAAUAUUACUUCCAUUUCAAAUUAGAUGAUAUUUUAAAAUAUUGGACGCUUAUUAAAAAUUAUUAAUUCAUUAAUUCUGUUUAUUUUUAUAUAUUGCAUUACUUAACACUAAUCCAAUAAUUAAAGAUUACAUUAUAGAAUACAAAUGGUCAAAAAUACUAAAUAAUAUUAAAAUUUUGCAUAAUUGUUUUGAAAAUUAUUUAAAUGAGAUAAAAUGAAAUUUAAAAACAUCAAUUAAAAUAAAUCAGAAGGAGUAUUAUAAACAUGGGGGAGCGCGGGAUAUGCAAAUGCCAGCAUGGUCCUACAUUUUAUGGUCUAACUGAUGACCAAUGAAUUAAUGAAAGAGAAUAGUAAUGCAUUUCUUGCUAUUCCUAAUUUUUUUUACCAUUUAUAAGGAAUAGUUUUUCCUUUUCGUUCUUUUUCAUUCAUUUUAUUCUAGAGUAAUAUAGAACAAAUUUGUUCCUCACUCAAAUUGAUAAGGAAUGAUAUUUUUUUAAUUCAUAUAAUUUAUUCCUCUGUAUUUUUUUCUACUCAUUUAUAAUGUUUUUACAAUGGUCACCAGUUAAACCUAAUAGUUUUUCUUAGAGAAAGAAGUACCCAGUUAUCUCUGCAUGUCAACAACAAAAUCCCGUCUUACAAUCUCGUAUGUGAUGUAUAAAGCUGUAACCAGAAAUUAUUGUCUAUAAUUGCAAAUGAGAAACCUCAAAUAAUCUUAGUAAAAAAAACCUUCAAAUAAUUGCUUUUAGAAAACUCAAAAUAUUAUCUAGAUAACAUUGACUCUAAAUGCACCAGUAAGGUUGUUAAGAAAUAAAUAUCAAUAUUAUCUUGAGCUUACUUAUCUAACAAUACUAAAAGAUCCAAAUACUGAAAAGAGAAUGUGUCCACGUCAUUAAAAUAAAUCGACCAAUGAGAGACAACAUUUUCGCCAUGUCACUACUGCUUCUGAAAAAUGAAGCUCGAAACAGAACUUCCUUUUGGGCUGUCCUUAGAGCUAUCAUUAUCGGGGGAUCUUAUCAGGGUUUUUAAUAAAAUUAGGAAUUAAAAAAAAUGAAAAAAGGCAAUUAUCAUUGAAGACAUAUCUUAAUUAGGCCACACAAGCAACGUCUCUUGUAUGCCACGUGUAGCUUUGAUAGAGUUUUGGGAGGAGAAUACGAGGAAGGCAAAAUCACUUUGCGAAGAACAAAAUCAUCGACGACUCCUCCUCCUCCUCGGGAGCUUCCUUGCUACAUCACGAGCUUCCUCACGAUCGUCAUCCUCGGCGUGGGACUCAACGUGAAGUCCUGGAUGGUUUAUCAACCGCAACCGCCACCGUCUUCUGACUCUUCCCCGUCGCCGUCUGAUCGUUUUCCGGGAAUCACAUCACCGGAGACGCCAUCGAACAAUCAAAACCUCGAGAUUGAGGACAUGUUUGCCAGCUAGAGAGCUUCAAGCCAUUGACCGCUCUCCUCAUCCUUCUCAUCAAAGUCAGUCCCUUUUUUUUUCUUCUCUUUUGAUCUUCACUUGGAACCAUACCCUUCACCAUUCUUAAAGUCUCAGACUUUGAUAAGUAAUUCAAGUUUUAGUAUAAGAGUUGACUUGAUUUAGUAAAAUCAAUCCCAGUUCCCCUUCUAGGGGUUGGUUUGUGUGUUUCAUAGUAUUACUGUAACUCGUUGUUAGUUUGUGAGUCUUCUUGUGUGUUAAAAAGGCAAUGGCAUCUUGUGUGAUGAUUGAUACUAUUAUUGUAAUUCGUUGUGAGUUUGGAGUAAAAAAAGCAAUGGCUUCUUGUCUGGUGAUUGAUAUUUGAUAAUUUAAUAAGUUGUAUGUUUCUUCUUCUUGGUUUGGUCUGUGCUAUUGAAUGUUAUUACUGUAACUGUUGUUAGUUCAUAGUUUUAUUGAGUGCAAGAAAGGCAAGGGCUUCUUGUUUGGUGAUUUAUAAUCUGGAAGUUGUCUGUUUCUUUCAGCUAGAGAAUAUCAUUUUAGUACAAUUGCUUAUCUUUCUAAUUCCCAAUUCCAUCUCCAUCCCCAUCGUCUGCCUCUCCGUCAUGUAUCCCGGGGCCGUCAUCACCACCGCUGAGGCGCAGGAGAUUCUGUGGAUACGAUGAAGGAGAGUCGGAGAUACGGUGCGGCCGGGAUGUUAGGCAGAUUUAUAUCAUUUCCCUUUUCAUCGGAGCCUGCACCAUCAGAGGUUAGUGUAUCUCGUUUUACCAUGCUUUGUUUAAGUUGGACUGCUUUACGUUUUAACAGAUUCAUGAUUAUCAUAAUAAUCAUCGAGAGAUUCCUAUCGUUAAUUCAUUCCCUUGAGUUGAUGAAUAAUGAAAGUGUAUUCACAAGAUCAAAUGUUCCUUCUCAGGUUCUUUCUUCUUUCUCAAGUUUUUUCAAUUUUUUUUUAAGAAACUUGCAAUGGAGGACACAAAUUUAGGUGUUUCUUAACUAAAGUUUUUAACACAAAUUUAUUACUAAACAAUUGAUUAAAAGACCCUAAUGGGUUCUAAGGAUAAAGAUGCUCUUACAUUUACGUACGCCCCAUAUCAAGUCCAAUCUUGCCUAGCUCUAAUUUUGUCUGAAGCGUCCAGAGUUCAUCUUCCCGUCUCUUCCACUUCGUCUUCAACCCCGUUACUGCAAGCUCCUAGCAAUCAAUUAUGCUUUUUAAAUGUCUUCUCUAUUGUUUUGUUCUACCUCUUUCUCUUUAUUGUUUGUAUAUAAGUUGCUAACCAGCUUCAUUGAGACUUAAUUCCAAGCACACCCAAAAACUUCCAUUGGAAAAUCUUAAGCUAUAGAUGGAUGUGCUUUACCCGAUUUUUCUCUUCACCUCUCUCAGUGGUUUCAUAUGUGAGAGAUAUAUAAAUAUCAGAACUCAUUUACUUACAAAAACUAGUCGCAUAGAAAAGAAAGAAAAGAAUUUCGAGUUUAAGGAUUUUGCUGUGGAACCUCUCAAUGGUACUCUAACGCCACUCAAUUGUCAUUUGUUUCCAUUCUUCGAUUUCUUAUAUCAAUUUUAGGUUAAACCCUCAUAUCAAUUAUGUUAUUUCUCAAUUAGAGGCUUUCAGACCAUGUCAGGUGAUUCUAAGACGACGGGGGAUCUUCGAUCACCUUCACUUGCUCAAAAAAGGCUUCCCCUAUAGGUAUGGAUAUCUUUGGUCGUUUGUUUUCAUAUUUAGCUGUCACUGCUAUCACAAAGAUUGAAAAUUUAUGUUCUCUCUGUGUUGUAUAUCAUUUUCUUUCAUGUGAAAUUUGAAAAUUGCUCAAACUUUUCUCAGUUAUGCAAUCUUGCAAGGGAAUAUCAAGAGCCGACAGAUUACUCAAGUGUAAGCUUAAUAAUGUCUUCUUACUUGUGACUCUCAGCGUGCAUACUUUAGAUUCCUAACUAAUAAAAGAAAAAGCAUUACCUGUUUGAUGUGUGUUUGGCUUCUCUUCUUCAGCUAUGGUUUUUAGGACGAUGUUUCGAAAAGUACGGGAAUGCAAAUGCCUUGACCUUUAUGGUUUUUAGGUUUGAGCUCUUCUUUCAAACUGGUAUUUCAGCGACACCAUUUGACUUCGUAAAUUUUUAUCUCUUACAAGUUUUAUGUUUGCAUGGAGGGCUUUCACUUUUUCUGAAUACACUUGAUAAUAUCCGGAGCUUGGAUUGGCUACAGGAGGUGUCACACAACGGACCAAUGUGUGAUUUACUAUGGUCCCCAUGAUCGAUGUGGGUUGGUUAUACAUUUGGACAGCUCAAUUCAAUGUUAACAAUGGACUCAAUGUCACAUCAAGAGCACAUCAAGCUUCUCAUGGAAGGUUUUAACUGGUGCAGGUGUGUAUGUUCAUUUCAAUUGCUCAGGGCUCUAACAAGGGUAUGAUUGGUCUGUCUACGUUUUUACAAUUGUGGACUGAAUCAUUGAUCUCUCAAACUUUUUAUGCAACAUUGAAUUGCUACUGAUGUGGAAACUUUGCAGCGAUUCUAAAGAUAAGAGAGGAGCAGAAUUUCGUCCAGUUUGAUCCAGCUCCUCGACAAGCCGAAAUACCACCAUUCCUAAAACCUAUACAACGGCAUUUGCUCAGCAUCUACAAUGGAAUCGUGAUGGGUUUUACUAAUCACAACCGAGAGCUUUCUUAAUGUCUAUUUGGUAUGUUUCUAACCUCAAAUUUCAAUAAUCUCCAAGUAGAACCUGCAGGUUUUUAAAAAGGAUCACAAGACUAAAUUAUAAACAAUAGGAAACCCUGAAGAAACUACCUCUCAACAACUUCCACCUCUUGAAAUUGGAUUAAAUGUAGGGAGUUCCUUUCCGCAGUUGAUUAUUUGGCCAAAACAUCAGAAGCAUAAGGCCAAGUUCUGACAUGCGCAUGGUAUACAUUGUAUUGGCUUUCCUGUAUCUUCUACCAAAUGUUUCCUCCCAUUGAGCAGUAGUAUUAAAAAAACUCAGUAUCGAGUUUGUUACAUUAGCCUCGGUGAGAAUCUUUGUAAUCAUGCACGUAACACCUUACCAAGAGCUUCUCCAAAUCAUUACCAUAAGCUACCAGGAGGAGCAGAUGUAUGUGCCAAAAAAGGAAUUCGUGCGUCACAGUUAAAAAUAUUUCGUGAGAUUUCGUUUAAAAUAAUAAUAAAGAACUAUUAUCAAAUAUCCACAAUUGUGCUACUAUUUAUACGGGAUGAAUUAGAAACUUUUUUCAAACAAUUAUCAAAGCAACAAUCCUAAAAUAUAUAAAUGUAAAAAUAUUAAUUUCAUUAACCAAGUAAGUUAUAUUUUAAAAACUAAUCAAAGCAGUACAAAAUUAUUGUUCCCCUCGACAUCAUCCAAACUAAUUUACAACUUCAUAAAUAUUAUUCAAAGCUUCAAAGAAAAAUAAAUGAACAAAUA